GUGAGGAAUAUUGGUCAAUGGGCGGGAGCCUGAACCAGCCAAGUCGCGUGAAGGAAGAAGGAUCUAUGGUUCGUAAACUUCUUUUGCAGGGGAAUAAAGUGCAGGACGUGUCCUGUUUUGUAUGUACCCUGAGAAUAAGGAUCGGCUAACUCCGUGCCAGCAGCCGCGGUAAUACGGAGGAUCCGAGCGUUAUCCGGAUUUAUUGGGUUUAAAGGGUGCGUAGGUGGUUUGAUAUGUCAGCGGUGAAAGUUUGCAGCUUAACUGUAAAAAUGCCGUUGAAACUGUCGGACUUGAGUGUAAAUGAGGUAGGCGGAAUGCGUGGUGUAGCGGUGAAAUGCAUAGAUAUCACGCAGAACUCCGAUUGCGAAGGCAGCUUACUAAGCUACAACUGACACUGAAGCACGAAAGCGUGGGGAUCAAACAGGAUUAGAAACCCGGGUAGUCC
rnacentral:rRNA from 1 species